AACGAACGCUGGCGGCAUGCCUAACACAUGCAAGUCGAACGAGACCUUCGGGUCUAGUGGCGCACGGGUACGUAACUCGUGGGAACCUGCCCUUAGGUUCGGAAUAACUCCCCGAAAGGGGUGCUAAUACCGGAUAAUGUCUUCGGCCCAAAGAUUUAUCGCCUUUGGAUGUGCCCGCGUUGGAUUAGCCAGUUGGUAAGGUAAAAGCCUACCAAGGCGACGAUCCAUAGCUGGUCUGAGAGGAUGAUCAGCCACACUGGGACUGAGACACGGCCCAGACUCCUACGGGAGGCAGCAGUGGGGAAUAUUGGACAAUGGGCGAAAGCCUGAUCCAGCAAUGCCGCGUGAGUGAUGAAGGCCUUAGGGUUGUAAAGCUCUUUUACCCGGGAUGAUAAUGACAGUACCGGGAGAAUAAGCCCCGGCUAACUCCGUG
rnacentral:rRNA from 1 species